UAACUGUCCACCAUAGCAUCCCACUGAUCUAACAAAGCACCACUCUUCAGUUGGCAGUUGGCACCCUGCUCUGAAUAAAAGUGCUUCACACCUCAGGAGAAGACCGAUGGGAGUUUGUUUAAGAAACAACGAGUAGUUUUAACCAGGUGUCAUAGAUCUGAUAUGCUUCUCAUGGCUCGUCGACAAGCUUCAUUUUUUAUCGUGCUAUUUUUCAUUUCUCAACUGUUCCGUGACAAUGCCAGUCAGCAGUGUGGAGCCGGCGGCGACCUAUACUCCAUUUACCAAAUGAUGCUCAAGGGCCACACUUACAAGUCGUUCAAGACUGCACCGGGUACUCUAGAAUGCAGAGAAGCUUGUCUUGCUGAUGUUAAAUGUCAAAGCUACAACGUCGUUAUGUUUAUUGCAAUAUGCGAGUUAAACUACCGAUCUAAAGAAGCCAGACCAGAGGACUUUGUCAAGA